rnacentral:tRNA from 2 species
CGGACAUUAGCGCAGCUUGGUAGCGCACAUCUCUGGGGGAGAUGGGGUCACAGGUUCAAAUCCUGUAUGUCCGACCA